CUUCUGUUUCUCUCUAAAGUCUUGUUAGUUAACCUGCAGUGCAACAUUGGUUUCAGGAGGAGAAUUCAGUGAUUCGUCACUUACAGACAACACCCAGUGCUCAUCACAAGUGCCCUC